GCCUGCCCUGCAAGACGAGCCUGAGCCGCUUGUUGAAGUUCAAUGGGACAACGACAAUCUUAUUGAUCAACAGUUGGAUAUGUUGCUCUCAGUUGAUGUCGAUACAAAUGAUAUUGUUGCUGAGGGUGAGGAAAGGCCGUGUAUUGCCUGCGGCGAAAAUUCAAGGACUUAUAUGGUCGAGCCAUGUGCUCAUUUUAUAUUCUGUGGUCAAUGUGUGGCAGUCCAUAGAAUGACUGUCAGGGACAUUGACGGUUACCCACAGCCAGUUCGCUGCCCGCUGUGUCGGACUAACGUCACCUCCUACAGGAGGGUUUUUCAAUAGUGCAUAGAACUCCAAAAGUUAUCGUCCUCUUCGGCCACUGUCGGAGCUGUCACCUCGGCCAAAUAGACGUGUGGAGAAGCCACUGGACCAGGGCCGGAUUUAGCAUUUUUGCGCCCCUAGGCCCAAAUAAUUUUCAACCCCCUAGUCUGGUCACAGUUACUAUGACUAUUUAUUUUUAUUUUUAGAUAA